CAUCCUUAGACAUAACAGCCUUCAGAAAGAUAUACUGGAGGGAAAAAUAGAAGGCAAAAAAGGAAGAGAGAGACCUAGAAAAUCAUGGUUUGGCAAUAUUCAGGGAAUGGACUUAACUUUGAGGAUUCCGCUAGAGAGGCCCAACAUAGAGAAUGGUGGAGAAGAAUGAUAGUUGAUUUCCAGUAUGGAGAUGAUACUUACUUGUUAGAGAGAAAGAGAGAGAUAAAGGGAUUAGCAGUCUAUUUAAGGAUUACAUUAUCUUUAGUAUUCCAUAAAUUAUUUCUGGUGAUUGAAUUAUGUUAUAUAAAAGUUCAUUAAUGUGCCAAAUACAAGAAAUGUUCUAUUUUAAACAUAUUUCUUAAGAAUAAG
rnacentral:lncRNA from 1 species